rnacentral:rRNA from 1 species
UACGGAGGGGGCUAGCGUUGUUCGGAAUUACUGGGCGUAAAGCGCACGUAGGCGGCUUUGUAAGUUAGAGGUGAAAGCCCGGGGCUCAACUCCGGAAUUGCCUUUAAGACUGCAUCGCUAGAAUUGUGGAGAGGUAAGUGGAAUUCCGAGUGUAGAGGUGAAAUUUGUAGAUAUUCGGAAGAACACCAGUGGCGAAGGCGACUUACUGGACACAUAUUGACGCUGAGGUGCGAAAGCGUGGGGAGCAAACAGG